AACGAACGCUGGCGGCAUGCCUAACACAUGCAAGUCGAACGCGUGUAGCAAUACACGAGUGGCGCACGGGUGAGUAACGCGUGGGAACCUGCCCAGUGGUAGGGAAUAACUGCGGGAAACUGCAGCUAAUACCCUAUACGCCCUACGGGGGAAAGUUUUUCGCCAUUGGAGGGGCCCGCGUCGGAUUAGCUAGUUGGUGAGGUAAGAGCUUACCAAGGCGACGAUCCGUAGCUGGUCUGAGAGGAUGAUCAGCCACACUGGGACUGAGACACGGCCCAGACUCCUACGGGAGGCAGCAGUGGGGAAUAUUGGACAAUGGGGGCAACCCUGAUCCAGCAAUGCCGCGUGAGUGAUGAAGGCCUUAGGGUUGUAAAGCUCUUUCGACGGGGACGAUGAUGACGGUACCCGUAGAAGAAGCCCCGGCUAACUUCGUGCCAGCAGCCGCGGUAAGAC
rnacentral:rRNA from 1 species